rnacentral:rRNA from 1 species
AUACGGAGGGUGCGAGCGUUAUUCGGAAUGAUUGGGCGUAAAGGGCGCGUAGGCGGCCUGGUAAGUCUGGAGUGAAAGUCCUGCUUUUAAGGUGGGAAUUGCUUUGGAUACUGUCGGGCUUGAGUGCAGGAGAGGUAAGCGGAAUUCCCGGUGUAGCGGUGAAAUGCGUAGAGAUCGGGAGGAACACCAGUGGCGAAGGCGGCUUACUGGACUGUAACUGACGCUGAAGCGCGAAAGUGUGGGGAGCAAACAGGAUUAGAUACCCUGGUAGUCCACACUGUAAACGAUGAAUGCUAGGUGUAGGGGGUAUCGACCCUUUCUGUUCCGGAGUCAACACAAUAAGCAUUCCGCCUGGGGAGUACGGCCGCAAGGUUGAA